rnacentral:rRNA from 1 species
UACGAAGGGUGCAAGCGUUAUUCGGAAUCAUUGGGCGUAAAGCGCGCGCAGGCGGAUCAGCAAGUCAGAUGUGAAAUCUCAGGGCUCAACCCUGAAACUGCGUCUGAAACUGCUAGUCUAGAGUGUCGGAGGGGGUAGGGGAAUUUCACGUGUAGGGGUAAAAUCCGUAGAGAUGUGAAGGAACACCGGGGGCGAAGGCGCCUACCUGGACGACUACUGACGCUGAGGCGCGAAAGCGUGGGGAGCAAACAGG